rnacentral:rRNA from 1 species
GUAACACAGGUGCUGCAUGGCUGUCGUCAGCUCGUGUCGUGACCUGUUGGGUUAAGUCCCGCAACGAGCGCAACCCUUGUCAUUAGUUGCUACGAAAGGGCACUCUAAUGAGACUGCCGGUGACAAACCGGAGGAAGGUGGGGAUGACGUCAAGUCCUCAUGGCCCUUAUAGGUGGGGCUACACACGUCAUACAAUGGCUGGUACAGAGGGUUGCCAACCCGCGAGGGGGAGCUAAUCCCAUAAAACCAGUCGUAGUCCGGAUCGCAGUCUGCAACUCGACUGCGUGAAGUCGGAAUCGCUAGUAAUCGC